rnacentral:tRNA from 1 species
GCCACUGUGGCUUAGAGGUACACAAGGAGUCUUUUGAAUCCUGUGCUCUAAAUAGCGAUUCCUUGGUAAGGAAUAGGUCGGGGGUUCAAUUCCCCCCAGUGGCU